GAUGAAGAACGUAGCGAAAUGCGAUACUUGGUGUGAAUUGCAGAAUCCCGUGAACCAUCGAGUCUUUGAACGCAAGUUGCGCCUCAAGCCAUUAGGUUGAGGGCACGUCUGCCUGGGCGUCACAUAUCGUUGCCUGAUGCCAGUUUCCUCGUGAUGGGUGACUGUGCAGGGCGAAUGAUGGCUUCCCGUGAGCAUUGUUGCCUCAUGGUUGGUUGAAAAUUGAGUCCUUGGUAGGGAGCGCCGUGAUAGAUGGUGGUUGAGUGACGAACGAGACCCAAUCAUGUGAGACCCCUACCGAAUUUGGCCUUCAUGACCCACAUGCGUCUUUGGAACGCUCAUGACGAGACCGCAGGUCAGGCGGGGCUACCCGCUGAGUUCAAGCAUAUCAAUAAGCGGAGGA
rnacentral:misc_RNA from 1 species